rnacentral:tRNA from 1 species
GCCUAUCUAGCUCAGUUGGCAGAGCAACAGACUCUUAAUCUGUUCGUCACGAGUUCGAUUCUCGUGAUAGGUA